rnacentral:rRNA from 1 species
CUACGGGAGGCAGCAGUAAGGAAUAUUGGUCAAUGGACGGAAGUCUGAACCAGCCAUCCCGCGUGCAGGAUGAAGGCCCUAUGGGUUGUAAACUGCUUUUAGCAGAGAAGAAAAGCCUUCAUUUAUGGGGGUCUGACGGUAUCUGCAGAAUAAGCACCGGCUAACUCCGUGCCAGCAGCCGCGGUAAUACGGAGGGUGCGAGCGUUAUCCGGAAUCACUGGGUUUAAAGGGUGCGUAGGCGGGAUAUUAAGUCAGCGGUGAAAGGCUGUCGCUUAACGACAGAACUGCCGUUGAUACUGGUAUUCUUGAAUAGGGUUGAGGUUAGCGGAAUGUGACAUGUAGCGGUGAAAUGCAUAGAUAUGUAUGGAACACCAAUUGCGAAGGCAGCUAGCUGGGCCUUUAUUGACGCUGAGGCACGAAAGCGUGGGUAGCGAACAGGAUUAGAAACCCCGGUAGUCC